GUCUUCUGUUCCCACAUGCUUCAAGUGGGCCACCAUUGUUCCUGUUCCCAAGAAAGCGAAGGUCCACAGACGACGCAAUCGCCAUCACACUGCCCUAUCCCAUCUGGACAAGAGGAAUACCUAUGUAAGAAUGCUGUCGAGAGCAUUCAAUCGAGAGCAUCCUGUCGGGCUGUAUCACCGCCUGAUACGGCAGCUGCUCCGCCCAUAACCGCAGAGCUCUCCAGAGGGUAGUGAGGUCUGCACAACGCAUCACCGGGGGCAAACUACCUGCCCUCAAGGACACCUACACCACCCGAUGUCACAGGAAGGCCAAAAAGAUCAUCAAGGACAACAACCACCCGAGCCACUGCCUGUUCACCCCGCUACCAUCCAGAAGGCGAGGUCAGUACAGGUGCAUCAAAGCUGGGACCGAGAGACUGAUAAACAGCUUCUAUCUCCAGACCAUCAGACUGAUAAACAGCUUCUAUCUCCAGGCCAUCAGACUGAUAAACAGCUAUCACUAACUCAGAGAGGCUGCUGCCUACAUGCAGACUUGAUACCAUUGGCCACUUUAAUAAAUGUAUCACUAGUCAUCUUAAAUAAUACCACUUUAAUAUUGUUUACAUAUUCUACAUUACACAUCUCAUAUGUAUAUAAUGUACUCUAUACCAUCUACUGCAUCUUGCCUAUGCCGCACUGCCAUCGCACAUCCAUAUCUUUAUAUGUACAUAUUCUUAUUCAUCCCUUUACAUUUGUGUGUAUAAGGUAGAUGUUGUGAAUUUGUUAAAUAUUACUGCACUGUCGGAACUAGAAGCACAAGCAUUUCGCUACACUCACAUUAUUAACAUCUGCUAAACCAUGUGUAUGUGACCAAUAAAAUUGGAUUUGAUUUGAUUAGAAGAACGACGGUGUUGCAGUUGUCUUGGAGAUCACAAGUUCCCAGAGUUCCCU
rnacentral:lncRNA from 1 species